CCCCUAGAUGUUCUGGGCCGCACGCGCGCUACACUGAACAGUUCAACAAGUCUUAACCUUGGCCGAUAGGUCUGGGUAAUCUUUGAACGCUGUUCGUGAUUGGGAUAGACCUUUGCAAUUAUGGGUCUUCAACGAGGAAUUCCUAGUAAACGCAAGUCAUCAGCUUGCAUUGAUUACGUCCCUGCCCUUUGUACACACCGCCCGUCGCACCUACCUAUUGAAUGGUCCGGUGAAAUCUCGGGACGGCGGCUUGGUCGCUUGCGUCCGACUGCUGAAACUUGAUUAAACCAUAUCAUUUAGAGGAAGGUGAAGUCGUAACA
rnacentral:rRNA from 1 species